CGCGUUUACCAUUUUAUGACAUCUUCAUACAAAUUGUGUGACAGUAUUCAUUUUCUCAAUACUCUGCAGACGAGUAGAAAUUAAUUUCUGAACGUUGUCAAGACAUUUUAGUCACUUAAAUACAUAUUCGUAUGUGCAUAUCAAAUGUUACUUUAAACAACAUUUUAAUAUGAUUUUGAAAGAAUUGAUAGUAUUCAUGCUAACUUUUCUUGGCUGUAUAUACUGUGAAAAGAAGAAAUUAUUCAUAGGUGUAUUGCUGGAGCUAUCAGACCAUUGGUAUGUGAGGUACACCAACUUUUUCCCGACCGUGUUCGAGAACGCAUUCCAGGGAAUAUAUAACAGAUCGGAUAUUCUGACAGACUAUGAAUUCGAAAUGGUUAUUAAGGACACUCAGGGUAAAGCUGGUUUAGCCGCGAGACAAUUAACUGAAAUGCUGACGGAAGGACCACCUAAAGUUGCUAUCAUCGGGACCAACACUUUCUGAUUCCCUUACAGUCACGGGACAAAUUGUACCUUUCUACAAUGUCAUAGAGCUUUCAUAUAUUGCAACAACAGCUACGACCACGGACAGGGAUCUUUUCUCCACACUUUUUAAAGUGAACCAGGUUACAAAUGCGCUGAAUCCUCUGCUGAUCCAAAUGAUGAAGUAUUUUGGAUGGACAAGGGUUGGAACCAUAGCACACCAAGAGGAAUUUUCAGUAUCGCAAAUUGAUCAUUUUCAUGGACUCCUGAGAGAAAACAACAUGACACUGGUCACGUCUGCCGUUAUAUCUGACACCAGUAAUAUCAGAGAUGUUUUGAAAAGAUACAAGCAAUUUGGUGUUCGGAUAAUCAUGGGAGCAUUCCGAGGAAAGGUAGCACCAAAAAUAUUUUGUGAGGUAUACCAUCAAGACAUGUAUGGGGACAGUUAUGUUUGGAUAUUGUCUGGACCUGCAUUGUUCGAUGGUUGGAUAGACGUUGCUAAUACUACUGAAAUGGGCUGCACCAAAGAAGAAUUAAUUGAAGCAACUCAAGGCCAUUUUACACUUGACCACUUACGGGAGAGUAUGUCAACCGAACCAUGCAUAUCCGGAAAGACGCCAAAAGAAGUAAUGAACGAGUUGAGAGGUUUUGUCAGUGAAACCCGUUACACCUUGUCAACCUUUUCAAGCUGGAUCUACGAUACACCAUGGGCACUUGCUAUAGGUUUAAACAAUAGCAUAAAGUAUUUGGAAGAAUCUGGAUUGCAGCUUCACAACUAUAACUACAGCUCUGAAUAUCUCGAUGCCAUUGUUAAAGGGAUGAGAGAAGUCCGCUAUAUGGGUGUUUCGGGGCCUGUAGCCUUUGAUGAGACCGGAAGCCGUAUCGGAAUCACUUUCAUACAACAGAACUUUUACGGAGAGAGACGUAACGUUGCCAGCUUUGAUGAAAUCGUCGGCAGUUUAACCUGGUUAGAACACAGUUCAACCCUCUGGUCAGGUAAAGAAGUCCCCAAGGAUAGAUUUAUAUACCAAGAUGUGCUCGUAGCUCCUAGUAGUACAGCAUUUGGUGUGGUAGUAACCUUGGUUUGUGUAGGUUGUUUAUUGUCCUUUACAUUCUUGUUCUUCAACAUCUACUACAGAAAUAACAGGUCCAUCAAAAUGUCUAGUCCAAUGAUAAAUAAUGUGAUAAUCGCUGGGUGCCUGUUAAUGUACAUCGUAAUACUUGUAAAUGCGGCAGACUAUUACAGAAACCUUGAUGACCCGACCGGAGAUAGCCUCUGCUCGGUAAGGACAUGGCUCCUAUCGUUAGGGUUUACAUCUUUAUUUGGUGCCCUGUUCUCAAAGACGUAUCGUGUUUACGUGGUUUUCCGAGAUUACAACUUAAGGAGGAAGGCAAUAAAAGAUUACCACGUGUUUGGAAUGAUCGGGAUCAUGCUUGUUGUAGAUGUUGUAAUUCUUGUGCCGUGGACGAUUUUUUUCCCACUCGAGAAAGCAACAAUAUCCAGGAGUACAAUGGAUGUUUCAAGUAACAACAUGAUAUAUUCCAAGUCAUACCUUCAUUGUUACAACGAAAGCAGUGCUUACUGGAUUGCCGCCAUAUAUGUUUACAAAGGUCUUCUGUUAGCCUUUGGCACUUUUCUUGCUUGGGAAACUCGCCAGGUUACCAUUCCUGUGCUCAACGACUCCAAGUAUAUAGGCGCUUGCAUCUAUAAUGUGGUCAUUGUGUGUAUAUUCGGAGUACCUCUUGCUCACGUCCUGCCUACAGAACAGAAGACCUUGACCUUUGUUUUAGAGUCGUCACUACUAUUCUUCUGCACAACGAGCAGCCAGUGCAUAAUAUUUAUUCCUAAGGUAUACACACAGACCUGAGUGACUUCAAAUGUGAGGAUACUAGACCAAACGAAGAUCUAAAAGAAGAAAAUGCCAAGUUAAGAAUGGAUCUAGCUAAUGAAACAAUUGCUAUUGCAAGGUUGCGAAAGUCGCUAUUACACAUAACAGGAAACGUUCACUUCUACAAAAACGGGACAGAAUAUGUUGUUGUCAGAAGUUCGGGACUUAAGUCUGCCAGCAGUGUCUAUCUUGGUGAUA
rnacentral:misc_RNA from 1 species